rnacentral:rRNA from 1 species
CAGUCGCCGCGGUAAUACGGAGGGUGCAAGCGUUAAUCGGAAUUACUGGGCGUAAAGCGCACGCAGGCGGUCUGACAAGUCAGAUGUGAAAUCCCCGGGCUUAACCUGGGAACUGCAUUUGAAACUGUCAGGCUGGAGUCUUGUAGAGGGGGGUAGAAUUCCAGGUGUAGCGGUGAAAUGCGUAGAGAUCUGGAGGAAUACCGGUGGCGAAGGCGGCCCCCUGGACAAAGACUGACGCUCAGGUGCGAAAGCGUGGGGAGCAAACAGGAUUAGAUACCCCGGUAGUCCCUGUCUCUAUACC